UCAACGGCUUCUAUAGAAGCCACCCACAUCUAUAAAAGUCAAUA
rfam:Nematostella vectensis strain CH2 x CH6 NEMVEscaffold_173_Cont17105, whole genome shotgun sequence.